rnacentral:rRNA from 1 species
CCUACGGGGUGCUGCAGUGAGGAAUAUUGGUCAAUGGGCGCAAGCCUGAACCAGCCACGCCGCGUGAAGGAUGACUGCUCUAUGGGUUGUAAACUGCUUUUGUACGGGAGUAAACUCAGAUAUGUAUAUUUGUAUGCAUGUAUCUUAUGAAUACGGAUCGGCUAACUCCGUGCCAGCAGCCGCGGUAAUACGGAGGUUCCGAGCGUUAUCCGGAUUUAUUGGGUUUAAAGGGUGCGUAGGCGGGUUGUUAAGUUAGUGGUGAAAUCUGGCGGCUCAACUGUGGAAUUGCAUUUGAUACUGGCAUGCUAGAGUGUAGUAGAGGUAGGCGGAAUGUGUGGUGUAGCGGUGAAAUGCGUAGAGAUCAGGAAGAACACCGAUUGCGAAGGCAGCUUACCGGACUGUAACUGACGUUGAGGCUCGAAAGUGUGGGGAGCAAACAGGAUUAGAUACCCGAGUAGUC